rnacentral:rRNA from 1 species
AUGGAUCAGCAGGAGGAGGAAGCGUCCGUCUCCGUCAGCAGCGUCCCGCCGGAGGAGGAGGAGGAGCAGGAUGAAGAAGAAGAAGAGCAAGAAGAAGAGGAGGAGGACAUGGGUGCGGUGAAGAUGGCGCUGGGCCCUCAGGUUCCCCUCAAGGACCUCCUACACCUCCACCUCCACAAGGAGGAGGAGGGGGAGGAGGACGACAGCCUCCGCAGAUGGAAGGAGCAGCUCCUCGGACCAGAUGCUGUCCACACCACCAACCUCCUCCUUGCCCUUGGAGCUGAGACCGUCGAACCAGAGGUGGCCAUACUCAACCUCACCAUCUUGGCACCAGGGAGGCCUGACCUGGUUUUGCCGAUUCCGUUUGUGCCUGAUGACAAGGGCCACGCCUUCAUGCUCAAGGACGGCACCGCCUACAGCUUCCGCUUCUCCUUCACCGUCUCCAACAACAUCGUGUCCGGUCUCAACUACUCGCACACCGUCUGGAAGACCGGAGUAAAAGUGGAGAACCAGAAGGUGAUGCUGGGGACAUUCAGCCCUCAGCAGGAGCCCUACACAUACAAGGCUGAAGAAGAUAGCACCCCGAGCGGCAUCUUUGCGAGGGGCUCCUAUUCUGCUAGAUUAAAGUUUGUCGACGAUGAUGGGAAGGUGUACCUAGACAUGAGGUACAGCUUUGAGAUCAGGAAGGACUGGCCUGCCUAA